rnacentral:tRNA from 1 species
GUCGCAAUGACCAGGUGGUUAAGGCGUUGGACUAGAAAUCCAAUGGGGUUUCCCCGUGUAAGUUCAAAUCCUGCUAGCGACG